rnacentral:pre_miRNA from 1 species
AUGUAGGGCAAUCUGUCUUUAAGUAGGGAUAAAUUACUCUAAAAAAAAAAGAAAGAAUCCUAGAAAGUUUUCCCUUCAAGUCAGGCUUCUUAU